rnacentral:rRNA from 1 species
AUGCGGAUCCGCAGGUCUGCCGCCCGCCUGCUCGGCUCCGCCUACUCCGCCCCCGCGCCGCCGCAACCAGACCUCCCGCUUCCGCCCCCGCCCCCGCCCCCGCCCCCGCCGCCGCCAGUGCUGGAGCCCUGUUCCUCCCACGCGGGGGGCGACGGGUUCACGGCCGGGGGCGGGGGGACCUCCUCCGCGGAGCGGUGCGAGCUCAGCCGGUCGCCGUGGGAGCUCAUGGCCCAGCUCGACCCCUCCGAUCCCAAGGAGGUGGAACACUUCAUGGGGAAAUACUUCGUCAGUGUCCCAUGCCGGACGAGCUGGCUCUUCCAGGCCAGCAUUCUUGCCGCCUCCAUCAAGGGGGAGGAAGAAGGGGAGGGGAAGGGGGAGGACAUGGCAGGAGAUAUGGCUGACGAGGUCUUUGCCAAACGGCGGCAGAAGGUUGCCAAGAAGAAGAGGACAGUCAUGGAAAACAGAGGGGGUGAGAAGAAUGCGUGGGGGCAUAAGAAGACCACUGAGGUUCAGAGUGAUGACGACGAUUUCGUGGCUGACGGAGGAGGAGAACUUUGGGUGUGCAAGAAGAAUGACGGCAAGAGGAGGUUUUGCCGCCGGCCGGUGAGCCAGCCUGAUUCCUUUUGCAUAUAUCACUCAGAUCUUAAGUCUGCGCUGCCGCCGACUUCAUCAGCGGCCUCCAAACCCUCCAGCAGCGCCAAGCCACGUAAGAGGAGGCGUGUCGAUGCAGGUGAGGGGUACUUAUACUACGCCGGGUUCGGCCCGUCCCUCAGCAAGAGGCAGAGAUCAAGCAGCAAUGUACUGGAAUCUUUACCUGAUGAGCAAGAGGAGGCACUGCCUGAAGAGCAUACUGCAGGUCCAGCCCAAACUGUUGAUGCAGACCAUCAAGCGGCAUCAGCACGCGUUGAUGAGCCUAGGUGUGAUGAGUUGGCCGGGAUUGCGGGCGGCGACGAGGAGAGCAGCGACGACGCACUUGGCUGCAACGAUGAACCCCGGGUUGUUGGCGUCAACGGCAACAUCAAGAGGAAGAGCCCGUUUAAGAAGAGGUGGAGGAAGCCUGUGAAAGCUCGCUCACUCAAGUCAUUGAUGUGUUAG